GUGCCUCUCACAGACCUGGAGCAGGUAAUGUCUGCUGGUAAGAUUCCCACUAUAGAUGCAAGAAAAAGAAGGUCCUUGUGCUUUCUGUCAGUCUGGUUGUGGCAACCAAGAUUGAAUGGGAGAAUACAGGA
rnacentral:snoRNA from 1 species